AUGUGACUGGAGGACUCACCUGCAGCGCCUGGAACCACGUCAGCAGCAGGAAGAACUCAGCUCUCCUGCUGGACGCCUGCUCUGGUACACACACCACUACAGUCAUGGAACUCUGCUCUGUUAUUUCUCCAGUGUUCAUCAGUGUGUGGCUGGCAGAGAUCAUCAUACUCACAUCACUGCUGGUGGGAGGGUAUUACCUCUACAUAAGAAACAAGAGAACACACACUCCAGAUGAGUGUAAGGACCAGGAAGUGGAUCUCACUCCGACCUCUAUGAGCCGCAGGAGGAAGAGGACACCAGAAGAGGUGCAGAUGCAGUGACUCCCCAUUGGCUCAGAGGGUGUCCAGCACCAGAAUACUGUGACAUCACAGACAUGUCCC
ensembl:lncRNA